rnacentral:lncRNA from 1 species
GAAGCAGGAAGCAGAAAAUACUCUCCAUUCAUCCUCAUACAGCUUGCCUACUGCCAAGUAGACAGUCAAUAAACAAGGAAAUAAUUAGUUGCAUGGCUCAUUAAGAAGGGACUUAUUCCAAGAACAACAAAAAUCAAGUGGGAAGGGGAAUGAAGGCUCAGAGCAGGGGAUUACUUUCCAUCCAGAUGGCUGUGAUAGGAAUGGAGGCUGUGAGCAACUGCCGGGGGGGCGGGGGAGGAAUAUUCUAAGACAAUGCAGUCCCUGGUGCAACAGCCCAUGUGGCAGGACAUACCUGAAACACAUGUGGCAUGGAAAGGCAGAUGUGGAAGCUGUCCCUGGUAGUGGAGCAAGGUGUCCAAGCCACCCAGCUAGCAGGCAGUAGAACUCACACCUGCCUUGUCCUGAGAGGUCUUCCUGUUGGAAGCAUUGUCAAGGCUCAUCAAGUGCACUGAAACUAAGGGAAGGUCUGUCAGGCUGGGAACCCAGGGCACAGACAAGGAUGUAAGCUGGGACUCUGAGGUCUGCCUCCGAGUUCUGUGUGUCCUGCAGCAACCACAUUCCUGUUUCUCCCAUGUGCUAUUCUGCUGGACAUUUUUCUCUUUGAUUUGAUGGCUAUACAAUUAAUCUCAUCUGACAGGUGAGGAGGGGUCUCCCCUGACAUGGUCCCCAAGCUUCCUGGAGAGUAAAUAUUGAUUUUGGGAACUGGGGUGGGAACUGGAGGGCAGAUUCACUUGUGAAUCGAUUCUGAGUCAAACCACAUCUUGAGUGACAUCCUGCGAUGAAGGAUGGUACCUUGUCCUUUUGGCUGGCACACUGAGUGUGAGAGGAGGUGGGGGCUCUCCACAGACCACCAGAAAAAAGUUAGGAGCUCCACACAGCAUCCUUGAUGAACAAAUGCUGGGCCUACCCUGGAAUGAGGUUGUCUGAUGAAGGGACUGUUGGCAGACCCUUCUGAGUAACAGGCACAGGGUUUGGCUCUGUGAGGACUGUCUGAGAGGCUUCAGUCAGCUGAGCCCUGUGCCCUGCACUGGAACACAAGUCGUCUUAUACACCCAGUCUGCUUAGGAAAGAAGCUAUGUGUCUCCAGUACUCACGUGGGUCCAAGCUGCCUGUUUUCUGUUCUGGAGGCCAGUCUUCAGCUUCCCUGGAAAGACUAGGGUGUCCUUACCUGGAUGGCUUGUUUCAGUAGUACCAUCACUAAAUGGCUCUCAAGGAGACUUGCAUGUCCCAGGAGUGGAGAACAAAGAGACAAGAGCCCAAACACACCUUAGGGUGAAAUGAAGUCUCACUGCUAUAGCAACUCCAAACUGCAGCUCAGACCUAAAGCUGAGAUGCCUGGCUUAUUGAACAGAUGCUGAGCCAUUCCACUGGUAAAAAGCUCAAGUAUAU